UUUGUAGGUGGCUUGCUAAGUCAGACGUGAAAUCCCUCAGCUUAACUGGGGAACUGCGUCUGAUACUGGUGAGCUUGAGUGCAGGAGAGGAACGCGGAGUUCCAGGUGUAGCGGUGAAAUGCGUAGAUAUCUGGAGGAACACCGGUGGCGAAGGCGGCGUUCUGGACUGCAACUGACACUGAGAAACGAAAGCCAGGGAGCAAACG
rnacentral:rRNA from 1 species